UUGAUGCCAACAUCCAUCCCCAUAUGAAGAUGACAUGCAUACCAAUAUAGGUACAAUAAUGUACAUAAUUUUUUUUAUUUUAUAUAGCAUAAAAGAAGACUAGGAAGAGAGAGAAAUCCUGUAAUUUGUUUAAUGGGAUUGCAUUAAUAGUAUUUCAUUGAUGUUGGGAAAGGGAUAUGGAAUCCCACAAAGAUAAUGUGUGGUGAGCCAAGCAGCACCACCCCACUCCACCUCACCCCCAAAAAUGAAAAGAUCACCCUCUAUAUAAAGAAUCACAUAACUUACAACUUUUCUUCAACACAAACAAGUCUUUAUUGAAAAUCAAAACAAAACCACUUCAAGAAACUUCAUUGAUCCUCCCCUUCCAUAGAACCAUUCAUUCUUCUCUAAACAUCAACCUUUAAGUUUAAGUCUUAUUCAUAUAGAUUAAAGCAACCGUUGGAGGGAAGGCAUCAGUCAGAAAGAAGGGCAUUAUUAUUAAUAUACCAUGAGGAGCUCUACAAGAAGGAUUCCGAGUAAAGGAUUUGGAGGUGUGCUUAAAGAGCAGAAAGCACGACUUUAUAUUAUUAGGAGGUGUGUGGUUAUGCUUCUUUGCUAUCAUGAUUGAUUGAAUUGUUCUCAUGUUAUAUCUUGGUUUGGGAUAUUGUAUAUAUAUAGGAAAAAUGAUGGCACGAAAGCUUCAACAAUUUUGUAACCAGAUAUCAUUGUAUUUCAUUUGUUCAAAUGUAUAUUAAUAUAUUAGAUAAGCUUAAUUCCUUAUUAGUUUUGAAAUUAUUUAGUUUUAAUUGAACUUUCAGUAUUUUUUUAAACAACAGAAAAUAAUUAAGCUAUAACGAAAAGCUAGACUAACCAAACAAUUACAUAAAGGAAAUAGUAUGAAUAGGGUUUUGAAACUACCCUACCAAGUUUAGCUUAAACUAUCUACUCAUAUCUAUUCAUAUUAGACACCCAAAAGAACAUAUGCACUACAAUAUUAUGAAAUAAGGAAUCAUUUUAGCAAUUUUUAAAAAAUCGGUUUUUAGUUGAUCCCGGUUCAACCUAUGAGUCAACUUG
rnacentral:lncRNA from 1 species